AGUUCCACAAGGCUCCAGGAAAAGCCCUGGAGUGUGUCUCAUCCAUCAGUAAAUGUAGUAUUAACAUAAACUAUGCCAAUGGCCUGAAGGACAUAUUCACCAACAUAUUGUCUAGAGACUAUAACAGGAAAACCGUGUAUCUCUUACUGAUCAGCCUGAAGGCUGAGGACACGGUCAUGUGUUAUUUCCAAGAGACUCGGUGA